GAGGGAGCUGAGCUCAGCAUGGAGCUCCCAGCCCCGCCCCCUGACCACGUGGCUCUGAGCAGGGUGGGGCUCAGGCCCCGCUGGAGCCACGCUGCCUCUGUCGAGCGAAGCUCCUGAAUCCGCUGAGGCUACGGAUGAACAAACUAAGAAUAACUGCUGCACUCCCUGACUCUACUUGAUUGCAUCUUCAAAAGCUAAAUUAUUUCGAACAUAAGAAUAAACAACAAUUUGCACUUACAGCACUAAGGAUCUCUAAUGGCUUUACAAGCAUGAAUUAAGUCAAACAGCAUGAGGGAGAAGAUAUCUUCCCCAUUCAUACUGUCCUGAGAAAAAAAACAUCUCUGGCCAUCUUCUGACCAUUUCUAGAUGCCUUCUUUAAUGGAAAAACAUACAAGGAAUGGACAAUUCUAUAAUGACCCUGCCAUUGUACUGCAGGACCCUUUAAAGGAGAAGAGGAUAUGAGACUAUUCACACCCCAACCACAUCUGCAUUUCUGCCAUACUCAGACAGGAUUCUAUGGUUGGGAAAAAGCUGCACCUUGUCUUUUUUGGGGGGCUAGUUUCUGAUAUCAGUUACAUACGGUGGUAUAAAUGUGGAAUAAUUGCACAGUUCAGUUGGCUUACUCCAGAUUUGUCUCUUGGACAGUGAUGAGUAGGAUCCAUUGUGUAAGGCCUACCUGCCAAGUUAAUCUAUAGGUGAACAAAACUAAUGAGUGCACUCUAGAAACCUGUUGUGCAAACUGAUAGGAGGAUAAAAUGAAGUAUUUGAAAAAUGGCUGUGUCAGUAUCUUAUCAGAAAUUCUGGAAUAAAUUUAGCCCUUGUAUAAGCAGGUGUGACUCCCACUGAAGUCAAGAAACUAAAUGUAAGGCUGGCCUGGUGUUUGUGUGUUAGCUCUCCGCCAUGCUGUGCAAGAUCUCAGGUUGUGUUCCUGGAGCUGGCCUUGCUCUGCUUGAGCUAGCAGUGACUGGGAAUGCUGCAGUGAGAAGGGAGCACCUGGAGUAACGCUGCAGUGAUGUCUCUGGCAAAGUGCAGCAGUGAUGAACUUCAUAGGGGGUUCCCUCCAGCCCUCCUGAUCCAAGGAAACUAGUUGUAAUUUGGAGCUUUUAAGGAGGAGGGAAGGGGAAAGUCCACCAUUAAGAAAUAGACAGGAAGAGAACAAUCCUGUUAAAUCCCCAAGGAAAACCC